AGGGUUUUUUAAUUGAACUCUCUUUUUUUCCUCUCCAAUGUCGCCGCUGGAGGGUGCUUUUACUAAUUCCACCUUCCUCCUUCUUAUGCGAUGGAUCAUCAUGUCUUCGUCCUCUUUACACCACAAUUCAUCGUUCUUAGGUGUCAGAGAUAUUUGCUCCAAUGGAUGAAAUGGUUACCAACACUGUUUUGAUAGAACAAUAAAAGGUCAUCUCCUCUACUAAAGCUUCAAAUUGAAAAGGAAAAACACGUAAUAAUCAUUAUGAUUCAUGUUUUGUCCAUGCGAUUUUUACUACUGAUGGCCUCAAAAACAUCGAUCCUUCAUACGUCUUUUGUCUAAAAAGAUAUUUGCUCCAAUGGAUGAAAUGGUUACCAACACUGUUUUGAUAGAACAAUAAAAGGUCAUCUCCUCUACUAAAGCUUCAAAUUGAAAAGGAAAAACACGUAAUAAUCAUUAUGAUUCAUGUUUUGUCCAUGCGAUUUUUACUACUGAUGGCCUCAAAAACAUCGAUCCUUCAUACGUCUUUUGUCUAAAAAGAUAUUUGCUCCAAUGGAUGAAAUGGUUACCAACACUGUUUUGAUAGAACAAUAAAAGGUCAUCUCCUCUACUAAAGCUUCAAAUUGAAAAGGAAAAACACGUAAUAAUCAUUAUGAUUCAUGUUUUGUCCAUGCGAUUUUUACUACUGAUGGCCUCAAAAACAUCGAUCCUUCAUACGUCUUUUGUCUAAAAAGAUAUUUGCUCCACUGAUUAACAUGGAUUUGAUAUAGGAACAAAAGACCAUCUCCUCUACUGUAGCUUUGAAAAGAAAAGGAAAAACUCGUAAUAACCAUAUGAUUCAAGCUUUGUCUAUGCGAUUUUCACUACUGAUGGCCUCAAUAACAUCGAUCCUUCAUAUGUCUUUUGAUCUGAUAGGAUCAAUGAAAUGCACUUGAAGCAAGUAAAGGAAUUUACAAUUACUAUUUGGAGUACCUCUACAAGCAAGCUACCACGUGGCAUGGUUGAUGGCCCAUGGGUUGUGAACUUCUUUUACCGGAGAAAAUAAUUCAAGCCAAAAUGUAAACAAGAAAGGUACAAGUAUACAAAUACAAAAGGAGAUUAAAGAAAUGAGAUCAUAUAUGAAGAACUUAAAAAAAAAAAGCUAAUAAAUAUUUUUACUUAAUUCAACAAUUUUAUAAUUAAAUAGGAUUGCUCAUAAUAGAAAGUUGUAAUAAAUUCUUUCUAUUUUAGAGAUCUUUUGGAUUGGCUUUCUGAAAAGUAGUAUUAGACUAUGAGUAUUUGUUUGUUCAAUAAAUAAUAUUCUUAAUUUAUUGGGGGGAAAAAGAAUAAAUAAGUCCGAAGCACAUACAUUAAUAAUCAUUUCGACAAUUAUCUCUUUCAAAUCAUGUAAAUUAGUUCUUCUCGCUUAUGUUUUAACGAAAUUCAAACUCAUUCUAUCGAUUCGGUAGAAGUCAUUCAGAAUACAAUAAAGUUGACUAAUAUUUAUGAAGAUCAUCAACGGCUAAUCUAUGAUAGUUCCUAGCUCGUCGGUGGCAUUCAAUGAAUGUUACUUCAAGAGUUCACAAAUAUAACUCUAUUAAUAGAAUGACAAUGUUUGUUCUAUGAAUGUUGCUUGAAGUGUUCACAAAUAUGACUCCAUGCAUUUAUAGAAUGUUAAUAUUCGUUCUGACCAACUUAGGAGUUGUUUUUCCAUGUACAUUGAUUUUUGAUUUCUGUUUGAAAAAUCAAAAG